rnacentral:rRNA from 1 species
UACGUAGGGGGCAAGCGUUGUCCGGAUUCAUUGGGCGUAAAGAGCGUGUAGGCGGCCAGGCAGGUCCGCUGUGAAAACUCGAGGCUCAACCUCGAGAUGUCGGUGGAAACCGUCUGGCUCGAGUCCGGAAGAGGAGUGUGGAAUUCCUGGUGUAGCGGUGAAAUGCGCAGAUAUCAGGAGGAACACCAAUGGCGAAGGCAGCACUCUGGGACGUGACUGACGCUGAGACGCGAAAGCGUGGGGAGCAAACGGG